rnacentral:rRNA from 1 species
UGCAGUCGAACGAACUUCCGUUAAUUGAUUAUGACGUACUUGUACUGAUUGAGAUUUUAACACGAAGUGAGUGGCGAACGGGUGAGUAACACGUGGGUAACCUGCCCAGAAGUAGGGGAUAACACCUGGAAACAGAUGCUAAUACCGUAUAACAGAGAAAACCGCAUGGUUUUCUUUUAAAAGAUGGCUCUGCUAUCACUUCUGGAUGGACCCGCGGCGUAUUAGCUAGUUGGUGAGGUAAAGGCUCACCAAGGCAGUGAUACGUAGCCGACCUGAGAGGGUAAUCGGCCACAUUGGGACUGAGACACGGCCCAGACUCCUACGGGAGGCAGCAGUAGGGAAUCUUCCACAAUGGACGCAAGUCUGAUGGAGCAACGCCGCGUGAGUGAAGAAGGGUUUCGGCUCGUAAAGCUCUGUUGUUAAAGAAGAACGUGGGUAAGAGUAACUGUUUACCCAGUGACGGUAUUUAACCAGAAAGCCACGGCUAACUACGUGCCAGCAGCCGCGGUAAUACGUAGGUGGCAAGCGUUAUCCGGAUUUAUUGGGCGUAAAGCGAGCGCAGGCGGUCUUUUAAGUCUAAUGUGAAAGCCUUCGGCUCAACCGAAGAAGUGCAUUGGAAACUGGGAGACUUGAGUGCAGAAGAGGACAGUGGAACUCCAUGUGUAGCGGUGAAAUGCGUAGAUAUAUGGAAGAACACCAGUGGCGAAGGCGGCUGUCUGGUCUGCAACUGACGCUGAGGCUCGAAAGCAUGGGUAGCGAACAGGAUUAGAUACCCUGGUAGUCCAUGCCGUAAACGAUGAUUACUAAGUGUUGGAGGGUUUCCGCCCUUUCAGUGCUGCAGCUAACGCAUUAAGUAAUCCGCCUGGGGAGUACGACCGCAAGGUUGAAACUCAAAAGAAUUGACGGGGGGCCCGCACAAGCGGUGGAGCAUGUGGUUUAAUUCGAAGCUACGCGAAGAACCCUUACCAGGUCUUGACAUCUUCUGACAGUCUAAGAGAUUAGAGGUUCCCUUCGGGGGACAGAAUGACAGGUGGCUGCAUGGAUGUCGUCAGCUCGUGUCGUGAGAUGGUUGGGGAUAAGGUCC